rnacentral:rRNA from 1 species
UACGGGGGGAGCAAGCGUUGUUCGGAUUUACUGGGCGUAAAGGGCGCGUAGGCGGCGCAACAAGUCACUUGUGAAAUCUCCGGGCUUAACUCGGAGCGGUCAAGUGAUACUGUCGUGCUAGAGUGCGGAAGGGGCUACUGGAAUUCUCGGUGUAGCGGUGAAAUGCGUAGAUAUCGAGAGGAACACCUGAGGUGAAGACGGGUUGCUGGGCCGACACUGACGCUGAGACGCGAAAGCGUGGGGAGCAAACAGG